ensembl:lncRNA
CAUCAAUGUGAGCAGAGGGCGAAAGCUGGAAAUCAUUACAUGGCACAACAGAAGGCAAAACAUUCACCUGGAGAAGGCAAUUAGCUCAGCAGGUCUUUUAGUGUCAUUAAGGGAUUAUUGUCCUGUUAUUACAUGUCCCAUCAUUAAGGGAUUAUUGUCUCAGUGGUUCCUUGACCUCCUGGGCAUGGCUGGAUGGUGUCACAUCAGACCCCAUAGAAGGUGUUGUUAGGGUGGGUGGGGUAGUGUGAGUUGUCCUCUCUUUCAGAGACCACCAGCAAAGCAAAUCGUUGUGUUAGGGAUGUGACCAAUUGGUUUGGAGGUGUCCAGGGCCAAGCUGAAUGAGAAACCUCAUCCAGUGCUUGAUUGAGCAGUCUGCAACCCUGCCUACGGCAUGGAGAUUGGAAGUGGACAGUCUCUGGGGUCCCUUCCAACACAAGCCAUUCUAUGAUUUCUUGCCCACGUGGUCCUAUGGGCAUCCCAGUGACCAUAUAUAGCCAACUCUCUGCUCUCCACCUCCUAUAAAAGAUGCUGGCUGCUGGUUUCCGUGCUGCCAGCCGUCCCGGAGCUGUGCGUUCUGCAUUUCCCUUUUAGGAAGCAAGAUUCUUGGACAUAGGGCAGUAAAAAGAAAACAUCUCUCAGCUCUUAUUUAUCACCUCUCCUUAUAACUGACCACUCUCUAAAUAGAGGGACCGCUUGCAGCCCAGGAGUGCAGCACAACGGAGCCAGAGGUGCCUUUGGCCCCUGCUGUCCUGGAUGGACUUCCAUGCAGAUCUCCCCACCUCGCUGCUAUUUAUGGGGUCAGCUCCAGGCAAGGAACCCAGCUGAAGUCCUGGUGCUUACUGCUCACCGGCCAAGCCAAACAGCGGAGUGAUGCAAUAUUGCACAAACUUUCCAGCCAGGGAAAUUAAUCUUUGCAAUAGAGGAAAAAAAAAAAAAAAAAAAAAAAAAAGCAGUGAGCACAGAAGACAGCUCAGGGCGUCUGUCUUGGAGGGGAUGUCUGUUAAAUGGGCUCAGCACAUGCUGUUCUGGCUGCUUCCGCUGAACUCUGCUGCUGGCGAGGGACAACACAUCUGGGAUCCAACAGCAGCCAUUGUUCUCCGAUGUUCAGCUCAUCACAUAAUGAGAUCCCACCAGAGGAACAACAUUAGGAUGCCUCCCAGACAGCCAAGGCCUUCAAAAUGCAUGGAGGAGGAGCAGCUCCAUCAAGGUCAUGCAUAGCUGAGCAUCCCAGAGGGGGAAGGUGAGGACGCUGGGUGACACCAUCGCUUCCCCAAGGCAGAGAUGCACAGACAUUUUGAAGUGUUCCACCAGAGUUUGGGUGUUCCUCUCUUCGGUUGCCUUUUCCAAGGGUCCAGACAGAAGCACUACUGUUCUCCCUGUUUUGUUGAAGGGAGUGACUAAGUCCUCCUCCUGCCUCCUGCCCACAAAGUGGAAUGUUGCUCUUGUCACUGGCAUCAAAAACAGAACGGGACUGUGAAUUGAAGAGCUCUGGGAGGGAGGGUGAGAAGCACCAGAAGCUGUGGUGCAAUAGGAAAAUGUCCCCAUUGCUGCAUACAACAGAGUCCAGCCUCUCCUACCCUCAGGUUCAUGCUGGGAUCACGGGGCCAUGUUUGAGCACUGUGAUGGGCAGAGGAGACGACAGAGACGUGAUGGAGAUCACCUCCCCUGGGUUCUGGGCUACAUGCAUCUGAUGAAGCUGUACGUAUCACAGAGAGUCAGAAAGUGUUUUUAUUGGUCCUUUACAUGCAGGUCAGAGGGAUUCUUACUGGGAAAGGAGAGGGA